rnacentral:rRNA from 1 species
GACGAACGCUGGCGGCGCGCCUAACACAUGCAAGUCGAACGAGCAAAGAGGAGCUUGCUUCUCUGAGCGAGUGGCGAACGGGUGAGUAACGCGUGAGGAACCUGCCUCAAAGAGGGGGACAACAGUUGGAAACGACUGCUAAUACCGCAUAAGCGCACGGUAUCGCAUGAUACAGUGUGAAAAACUCCGGGUGGUGUGAGAUGGACCCGCGUCUGAUUAGCUAGUUGGCAGGGCAGCGGCCUACCAAGGCGACGAUCAGUAGCCGACCUGAGAGGUNACCGGCACAUUGGGACUGAGACA